CGAACGGGUGAGUAACACUGGGCAACCUGCCCAAAAGAGGGGGAUAACACUUGGAAACAGGUGCUAAUACCGCAUAACCAUAGUUACCGCAUGGUAACUAUGUAAAAGGUGGCUAUACUACCGCUUUUGGAUGGGCCCGCGGCGCAUUAGCUAGUUGGUAGGGUAAAGGCUUACCAAGGCAAUGAUGCGUAGCCGAAUUGAGAGGUUGAUCGGCCACAUUGGGACUGAGACACAGCCCAAACUCCUACGGGAGGCAGCAG
rnacentral:rRNA from 1 species